rnacentral:rRNA from 1 species
ACACAUGCAAGUCGAACGAGCGAGAGAGAGCUUGCUUUCUCGAGCGAGUGGCGAACGGGUGAGUAACGCGUGAGGAACCUGCCUCAAAGAGGGGGACAACAGUUGGAAACGACUGCUAAUACCGCAUAAGCCCACGGGUCGGCAUCGACCAGAGGGAAAAGGAGCAAUCCGCUUUGAGAUGGCCUCGCGUCCGAUUAGCUAGUUGGUGAGGUAACGGCCCACCAAGGCGACGAUCGGUAGCCGGACUGAGAGGUUGAACGGCCACAUUGGGACUGAGACACGGCCCAGACUCCUACGGGAGGCAGCAGUGGGGAAUAUUGCACAAUGGGGGAAACCCUGAUGCAGCGACGCCGCGUGGAGGAAGAAGGUCUUCGGAUUGUAAACUCCUGUUGUUGGGGAAGAUAAUGACGGUACCCAACAAGGAAGUGACGGCUAACUACGUGCCAGCAGCCGCGGUAAAACGUAGGUCACAAGCGUUGUCCGGAAUUACUGGGUGUAAAGGGAGCGCAGGCGGGAAGACAAGUUGGAAGUGAAAUCUAUGGGCUCAACCCAUAAACUGCUUUCAAAACUGUUUUUCUUGAGUAGUGCAGAGGUAGGCGGAAUUCCCGGUGUAGCGGUGGAAUGCGUAGAUAUCGGGAGGAACACCAGUGGCGAAGGCGGCCUACUGGGCACCAACUGACGCUGAGGCUCGAAAGUGUGGGUAGCAAACAGGAUUAGAUACCCUGGUAGUCCACACCGUAAACGAUGAUUACUAGGUGUUGGAGGAUUGACCCCUUCAGUGCCGCAGUUAACACAAUAAGUAAUCCACCUGGGG